AACAAACGCUGGCGGCGUGCCUAAUACAUGCAAGUCGAACGGGGAAAGCUUUCGGGUGAGUACUAGUGGCGCACGGGUGAGGAACGCGUGGAUAAUCUGCCUUAGAGUGGGGGAUAACUAGUCGAAAGAUUAGCUAAUACCGCAUAAGACCACGAGAGCUGCGGCUUUUGAGGUCAAAGGUUUUUCGCUCUAAGAUGAGUCCGCGUAAGAUUAGCUAGUUGGUGAGGUAACGGCUCACCAAGGCGACGAUCUUUAACUGGUCUGAGAGGAUGAUCAGUCACACUGGAACUGAGACACGGUCCAGACUCCUACGGGAGGCAGCAGUAGGGAAUAUUGCACAAUGGAGGGAACUCUGAUGCAGCGACGCCGCGUGAGUGAUGAAGGCCUUCGGGUCGUAAAGCUCUGUCGCAGGGGAAUAACACAAUGAAGGUACCCUGUAAGAAAGAAUCGGCUAACUUCGUG
rnacentral:rRNA from 1 species